AGAACAACUCUCAGCAACGGAUAUCUUGGCUCUUGCAACGAUGAAGAACGCAGCGAAAUGCGAUACGUAGUGUGAAUUGCACAAUUCCGCGAAUCAUCGAGUUUUUGAACGCAAGUUGCGCCCGAGGCUUGUCCGAGGGCAUUUCCGCUAGAGCGUCACC
rnacentral:rRNA from 1 species